rnacentral:tRNA from 1 species
GAGCCAGUGGUCUAGUGGCAUGACGUUGCGUUCACAUCGCAAAAAUCGGGAGUUCGAUCCUCCCCUGGCUCA